rnacentral:rRNA from 1 species
GACGAACGCUGGCGGCGUGCUUAACACAUGCAAGUCGAACGGAAAGGCCCUGCUUUUGUGGGGUGCUCGAGUGGCGAACGGGUGAGUAACACGUGAGUAACCUGCCCUUGACUUUGGGAUAACUUCAGGAAACUGGGGCUAAUACCGGAUAGGAGCUCCUGCUGCAUGGUGGGGGUUGGAAAGUUUCGGCGGGUGGGGAUGGAGUCGCGGCUUAUCAGCUUGUUGGUGGGGUAGUGGCUUACCAAGGCUUUGACGGGUAGCCGGCCUGAGAGGGUGACCGGCGACAUUGGGACUGAGAUACGGCCCAGACUCCAACGGGAGGCAGCAGUGGGGAAUAUUGCACAGUGGGCGGAAGCCUGAUGAGGCAACGCCGCGUGCGGGAUGACGGCCUUCGGGUUGUAAACCGCUUUCGCCUGUGACGAAGCGUGAGUGACGGUAAUGGGUAAAGAAGCACCGGCUAACUACGUG